rnacentral:lncRNA from 1 species
AAACCCAAAAACAAAAAGAUGAACAUAUACAGAUUCCUAAUUCUCAAGGAUGAAACUAUUCAAGGAGACACCAAAAACCGUUCAAAUAACCAACUUAAUUUCUUCAGUUUUCCUUUCUUUUUCCUGCCUUAUCACACCUCUUCGAAGCCAACAUCUAACAUAUACAAUCUUAAGGGAGUUUAAUUGGUGAGUGAGAAAACAGAGAGAGAUUAUGAUUCGAUGAAGAUUCCUAACCACAUUGGGGAUCUAUAGAGAGCA